GAUUGCCCCAAUCUCCGUGUGAUGCCCUUGUCGGAGGUAUCUUGCUCCAAUUUGCGCAGAUUUCGAGUUUCUGGGUGCCCCAAGAUGUCUCUGCCCGCCAUGCCUCACACCUCCACACUGACAGAUCUGGAUGUUAAGAGAGGUGAUUCAGAAACGUUGUCUUAUCAUGGAUGGAAGUUGAAUGUUAGUGGGUAUGGCGGUGCUUUGGCCUACCACAAUCUGGGUAAAAUAGAAGAUAUGGCUAUUGAAAAUGUAUCGUGCAUAUCAUUGACAGACAUUGAAAAGUUUAAAUCCCUAACAGAACUAACUGUCGAAAGAUGUGACGGUUUGUUCCCUGAAGAGCUGGAUGGCAGUAUUGUCUUCCCUUCAGUUAAGAGUCUCAAAUUAGAUGUAUCUCAUCUUACCAAAAAAUCAUCAUCUUCAAAAGUGUUAAACUGUUUCCCAGCUGUUUCUGUGUUGGAGAUACAUGAAGUUCCAGACUACGAGUAUGAGGAAUGUGUAAUGCAGUUCCCAUCAUCCAGCUCACUGCAGGAACUUACCUUCUCAGAAUGUAAGGGCCUGGUUCUUGUGCCUAUGGAGAAUGGAGGAGGAAUUCAGGAGGACAAGUCAUUGCUCCAAUCAUUAUCAAUAUUCAACUGUGGCAACUUGUUGUGUCAGUGGCCCAUGGUAGAGUCAGAGACCAUUUACCCUUUCCCUGCUUCCCUGAGGGAACUUGAUGUUUACCUAGACACAAGCAUGAAGUCAAUGGCUCUGCUGUCAAACCUCACUUCUCUCACCACUCUAAGGCUAAAAGACUGCAGUAAUUUAACAGUGGACGGAUUCAAUCCUCUCAUCGCAGUCAACCUCAUACAACUGGAAGUGCAUAGGUGCAGCACCUUAGCAGCAGAUAUGCUCUCAGAGGUGGCAAGGACCAAAUUAUUGCCUGCAGGUUACAUCUCUAGAUUAGAGGUGCUCACGGUGGAUGACAUCUCUGGAUUGCUUGCUGCUCCUAUUUGCAUCCUCCUUGCCCCGGCCCUCCACACACUUAAAUUCUUGUUUGAUAAGAGCAUGGAAAGCUUCACGGAAGAGCAAGACAAAGCGCUGCAUCUCCUCACCUCCCUCCAGAAACUAAGUUUUCACUCUUGCAGGCGUUUGCAGUCCCUUCCUCAAGGGUUGCAUCGCCUUUCUUCUCUCAAGGAGUUACAUGUCCUUUGGUGUCCAAAAAUCCGAUCGAUGCCCAAGGAGGGCCUCCCGGUUUCACUGAGAAAACUAAGGAUGGAUUGUCCCAGUGCUGAGAUAGAUGAGCAAAUUGAGAAAAUCAAAAGAACCAACCCAGAUUUAUCCGUCUCGGAUGACUAA
rnacentral:rRNA from 1 species